rnacentral:rRNA from 1 species
CGUGUAGGCGGCCUUGCAAGUUGGGUGUGAAAGCCCUCGGCUUAACCGAGGAAGUGCGCCCAAAACUACGAGGCUUGAGUACCGGAGAGGAUGGUGGAAUUCCCGGUGUAGAGGUGAAAUUCGUAGAUAUCGGGAGGAACACCAGCGGCGAAGGCGACCAUCUGGACGGAUACUGACGCUGAGACGCGAAAGCGUGGGGAGCAAACAGGAUUAGAUACCCUGGUAGUCCACGCCGUAAACGAUGAGCGCUAGGUGUUGCGGGUGUUGACCCCUGCAGUGCCGCAGCUAACGCAUUAAGCGCUCCGCCUGGAAGUACGGCCGCAGGCUAA